ensembl:lncRNA
CUCAGAGCCAUGGUCUCUCCUUGCUCUCUGUUCCUGGACCUAGGGCUGGGUUAGGGCUGUGCAUCUUCUAGUCUAACCAGUAACUCUAGCCAGCAAAUCAGAGGGAAAAGCACUGCACAGCUACAGCGGCUUCUUUCCCUGUUGACCUGCUUGCAGGCAGUGGGUCCUGCUCUCCUCGCCAAAGCUUUUGCUAGGCAAGCAGUACUAAGAGGGUAACAUGUGACAGAGCAUCCCAUUCCUUUUAUCAAGCCACCUAGGUAGAUUCUUGAAUCCACCUCCUGGAAAGGAGGCAUAAACCUGCUGCCUGAGCUGUCUUAAGAGCUUGAUCAAGCAGUGAAGUUUGGGGCUGAGGAAAUAAGCAAGAUAGUGAAGAGGUGCUACACUUUCUGAGGCGUAUUUAGAGCUGAGUGCUGAGGAUGACCUGGAGAGACAUCUGACGUAAAGCACCACCUCCAGGAAGGCGUUCAGCUCCUGCUGAGGAUGAAAACAUGUGGGGGGACAGAAGGCCCUACCAGAGCUCUCAGUUAUAGUCAGACGUCCCUGCUGAUGGCUGGAGACUUGAAAGGAGAGAAGGUUCCCAGUCUAACACGUGGAGCUGCUGAGCACCUGAGAGGCAAAACCGUGUGUCAGGUGUUAAGCGUGUGCCACCAGCAGUCCCCAGUGAGAGGAGAAAACCAUAUCUCCUUGCUCUACUUCUCAGUCUCCUUCCCAUCAAGUAGCCUCAGGCAUUCAUGA